UGAUUGCGAGUUGAGCCUUUCCUUCUCUCCUGCUGCUUUUGGAACCUGGCCAUGGUGUAAGGAAGCCAAAGCGGGUUUCUGGAGACUCACGGCCCAGCAAACAGCCAGCCUCCAUGACUAGAAGGUUCACCCCAGAUAUCCAUCUUCUUCUAGGAAGAGGGAUGUGUGUGUGCAGUAAAGACGAGGAGGAAGAGGGAGGGAUGCAGAUACACACUGAUCACAGAAGGAACUCCCAGAGAGAGACCCAGGUCUGGAGUCAGUGGUAACAACAGCA